rnacentral:tRNA from 2 species
UGGGGUGUAGCCAAGUUGGUUCAAGGCAAUAGACUUUGAUUCUAUGAUCGGGGGUUCGAGUCCCUCCACCUCAGCCA